AACCUAAUAUAUUCUCCCGAUUCUUCUCUUCGCAUCUCCUUCACCACACGCACGCCGCCGAUUCCCAUCCCCUCUCCCGAUCUCCUUCUUCCAUCGCCUCUCUUCAUCGCCGUCGACCACCGAGCCUCGACGCCGACAACAGCGAGCCCCGAUCGCCAUAGCUAGCCACCAACCUUGAGACGCUGGUGCCAUGUGUUGCAGCCGCCGUCGAUCUCCGCUACCGCCUUCUCCACCCUUCAAUCGGUUGAGUUGUGCUCUAGCUCGAUCCAUCGCAGCCUUCCUGUGAGCGAGCCUGGAUUGGCAAUGCUACAGCCACCGAUCGAGUAAGAGUCCCGGUCACCCCUUCUUUCCCUCCGUCGUGGGCAUCUCCGACUAGGUGGUUGUGUCAUUGUCCAUCUACAUCGCUGCCCACUGUGCGAGCAUGGGAGGUGGAUGAUGGUAGCCAUAGUUGUGGUUCCCUUCAGGCCAUCCAUCCUCUUGUCAACCAAGAAGACCAACCGUGGUGAUUCUCUAGCUCCACUGCUUCUUCAGAGUUGUUCCGACCACAAGCAAGAGGGCACCAUACUCCUGCACACUGCCAACUUUGCACCGGUCAUUGUUGCUCCACCAACAACUAGUCCAAAUAGGUGCCUCUGCUGGCCACAGUGAGUUGCCACCAUAGAGGAAGGAAGCUAGAUGUUUGAUUUGGGACUUUGAUUCAAGAUGAGCAUCUCAAUAUAGAAGCGGUUGCUUUAUAAGGACUUACCAUUAGGCAGUUGCCAUCGGCGACGCUGCAGAUCGGGUAGUCACGGGGGCAGCAGCUGUAGUGGUCGUUGCAGCAGGUCGCCCCCUCAAGCGGACAGCACCCCCAAGUGAAGCAGUGAUUGCCCUGCUGGUAGAUGCAGCAGCAUGUGGUGCUGCCGGAGCAGGUGUAGUAGCUAUCGCAAGCGGUAAGAGGUUUGGCAAGGGAAGGCGCAGAGGAAGAAGAAGAGGCAGCAGCAUGGUUGUUGAGCAGGUUGGCCCCUCCUUUUGUGGGGUAAGAAGCCAUCGAGGCAAUACCACAUUUGCCAGACCUCUCUGCAAUGUUCCGUUCCAUUCGUAUGUAACCAGACUCCCCCCAAUUCUCACCCCA